UCAUCUCUUCCUGUCCAGAUCUGACCUCCACACCGGUGAAGGAGAACCAGCAGUGUGGGGUGUUUAACUCCACGCAGGGUUCCUGACAGAGUCUGUCCUGUGAGUCAGCCUUGCCUUACAUCUUCAUGAAAACCACCAAACACAACCGGAAUGCCGCGGCGCUUGUUGACUGGCAGUAUAAGGAGAUGAUUUGUCCUGACGGUUGCUUGGACCACGAUGGGUUUUGUUACCGGUUCCUGGAGGAGAAGUGGAGCUGCCAUGGCGACAAACGAAUCUAAGGUUUGAGCAGACCUUUCUAAACAGCCAGAUCAGCGAAAUGAGAGGCUCUCAGUCCCGAUUCUACUGGACAGCUCUGCAGAACUAGAACAGAACUGGCGAGUACCGCUGGCUGACCCAGAAUGGCUCGUCGGGACCCCUCACCUACAUCAACUGGAACCGACACCAGCCAGGUAAGUCCUGGAAAUUUUGUCAUCAUUUACUCACCCUUAAGUUGUUCCAAACCUGUGUAAUUUACUAUCUUUACAUACGAGAAUAUUUUGGAGAAUGUUGGUAAGCAAACAGUUUCUGGUAGCCAUUGACUUCCAUACUGUGAAAAAAAUACUAUGGAAGUCAGUAGCUACCAGCAAUUGUUUGGUUACCAACAUUCUUCAGAAUAUCUUGAUUUGUUUAACAGAAGACAUACAUUAAUACAGGUUUGGAACCACUUGAGGGUGAGUAAAUGAUGACUG
rnacentral:lncRNA from 1 species